rnacentral:lncRNA from 1 species
AGUUUAGGUAAAAUUUGUAAAUGAUCUUGCAUUUGAGUCUGAAGUUUAAAAGCAACAGUUACUCAUUUUGGGCCAAAAACUACAGGCAUGACUGUGCAUGCUUACUGGCAGCUCUCAGACCAUCCCAGCUCAGCUACUGUGUUUGGCUCUCUUCCCCAUGCUCAGCACUGUAAACAAACAAUCGGACAACAAAAGCAUGGGAUUCCUGAUGCUCUUCUAAGUUUGACCACAACCAAAUUGUAGGGUGUACCUGAUUCAGAAGCUCAGCGGCAGCCACGUUUGCAUCCAAGUGGCCCCCACACUUCAACAACACCAGAUUAUCAGAAGCACAAAGAGCACCGGCUUGCAUUUUUUUCUGGCUCAUGGGACAGGAGGGGUUGCAGACAAGGAAUGAGUCCCGUACUCAGGUGACUUCUUGUGAACCAAUCCCCUAAGGAAUAAAGAAGCCAAUCACUGGGUGAGUAGGCGGGACUUCUGGGUUGGAUGGAGGAAGAGAGGAAGCAGGAGAGAGUUAGGUCUUUUUUGGACGGGGAUAGCGUGAGGACAAGAUUUAAUUAUGAGUGGCUCCUGGUUUCAAUGGUGGAUCUGUCAGGAUUCGCCACAGGAGGAUUUAGAUUUAAUAAGACUUACAGAUUAGAAUUUUAGUUGAUGCACUCAGUGAUUGAGUUUAUGUUGUUUCUGAACUAAGCUUGUGUUGUGUUUUCCUUCACACAGCAGCUUGUCGGGGUUCAAGAGAGAAAGAUACGGUUGGCAAAGCAUGGAUUUGCCUGAGGUGCACCACAAAGGUCACGGGGGAUUUGAAGCAUGGGGCUGGUGUGGUAGAGACCAGCCAGUGGGAACUUAGCGAGCUGGGUGGAGAUGUUUGGGGAGCUCCGGGCCAGAGAGUCCCCACAAGAUAGUAACAGGCCGGCCAGAUCACCAGAGCUAAGAGUAGCAGGGCACAAGCACUGGAAUGUGCAGGCUUUUUAAAAAAACAAUAUUUCCUGCAACAUAGGUGCUUCUCAGUCCAUUCAAGUUGACAAUCAAGGUAACUAAUUAAUAAAAGAAAUUAUUUGAAACCACAUAUACCACCUUGAAUGUAAAAUGCUUGGAAGCAUAAUAUAUACUUUUUAGGCAUCACUGAGUUAGCAGUUUCAUGUUGAGUAGUGUAAUGGCUUGAAUGAGAAUGGCUUCCAUCAGCUCAUAGAGUUGAAUAAUUGGUUAUUGGGGAGUGACAUGAUUUGAGAGGGUUAGAAAGUGUGGCCUUGUUGGAGGAAGUGUGUCACUAGGGAUGGGCUUUGAGGGCCCAAGCCAGGCCCAGAGAUUCUCUCUCUUUCUGAUGCCUGAAAAUCUGGAUAUAGAACUCUCAGCUACUUUUCCAUCAACAUGUUUGCCUGUGUGUGACCAUACUUCCUGCCAUGAUGAAAAUUGACUAAAUUUCUAAAACUGCAAGUUUCAAAACAUGGAAAAGAAGACAUAAAUGCACAAAGGCAUCUCACAAAACUGUCACAUAAUAUAAAAACACCAGAACUGAGCUGUUAAAACCAUGGCUCAGGAUUCAUCCAUGUAUCUCAGCAACACAUUCAGUGCCUUAAGGUGAUCCAACUCCUUUUCCG